UAUCCAUCACAUAAUUUAUAUAGCCAAUAGAAAUUGGACUUGAUCAAGGCAACAUUUAUCCACAUAUUGAGGCAAGGGUCGUCAAGGCAACAUAAAACCAGAACCAUCAUUUAUACAACCAACAAUUGGACUUAAGGUUCAUCGAGUAGAAUGUUAACCAUCUCAUAAUUUAUAUAGAGUCAUCGAGUAAGGGUCAUCAAUAACUUAAAGAUACCAUUUCAUAAUUCCAAUAUUGAAUAAUAACUGGAUGUAAGGGUCGAAUAGACAUUUAACCAUUUUGAUCCAAAUUUAUAUCAUACAAAACUUUCAGCAAGCUAGCACAUUUUGCAAGAUUGCAUUUGGGUCAUCAAAGAAUAAAUUAUACCUCCCCAUAUUUAUGAAUAGAAAUUUAUCAUUAAAAAUGCAUUUAGCACACCUAACUAACUUGGUUUUUCUUUUCAAGUAGAAGAUUAGAUGUUCUUGAAUAAUCAAGAAUGAAAAGGUGGGUAUCUAAACAAGGUAUCAAUCAUAAAUGUAUGUUGCAAUGAAAAAAAAAUUUCAAAAUACUGUAGCAAACCAAAAAAAAACUGUCUUUCACUGUAGUAGUGCCAAAAAGGGUCUUGGGACCGAUCACAAUUCUCUCAUGCAGAAGAUUGAAUAUUCUUGUACAAUAAAAAAAAUGAGAAAAUUGGAUAUUUCAACAUGUGGAACAGUUUUUUGACCAACAUUCAUAGAAGUUUGUCAUGAAAUUGUUCUUAUGAAAAAAUCAUCUUCGAAAACAUUGGUGUCAAACAGAGUUUUGGGACAUAGCAUGUUUCCUCAAUGUAAGUGUUUUCUUUUUUCAUGCAGAAGAUUGAACAUUUUUGAAUCAUCAAGAAUGUAAAAAAUGGUACCUUCUUCAUGCAGAAAAUUGAAUCAUCUCUCAUCCAUUAGAAGAAUGAAAAAAUCAGUAUCCCGCAAAAAUCGUAAACCACUAUGGUUGUUUUUUUCAAGUAGAAGAUUAAAUAUUCUUGAAUAAUCAAGUCUGAAAAAAUGGGUAUCUGAACAAGGUAUCAAUGAUAAAUCACUAUAUUAGUGCCAAAGAGGGUCUUGGGACCGAUCACAUUUUUCUCAAGCAGAAGAUUGAACUUCUUGUAUGAUAAAAAAAAAAAGAGAAUAAUGGGUAUUUCAACCGGUAGAACCGUUUCCUGACCAACAUUCAUAGAGGUUUGUCAAAAAAUUGAUCAUAUGAAAAGUCAUCUUUCUUAAUAUUGGUGUCAAAUAGAGUUUUGGGACAUAGCAUGUUUCCUCAAUUAAAGUGUAUUGUUUUUUCGUGCAGAAGAUUGAACGUUUUUGAAUUAUCAAGAAUGUAAAAAAGGGUACCUUUGUCCUAUGCAGAGAAAAUUGAAUGUUGUUUCUUCGGAUAAAUUGUCGCUUUUUCUUUGAUCAUUCUCGACAAGACAUCUGCUAGCUUUAUGUUCCAAUCCAUUGCACUUCUUUUCGCCAGAAUUUUACAUAAGUCUUGCUUUGUUCUUGAAGAAAAAAAAGAACGAAACAAUGCGCAGAGAAACUAAGCUGCAUAAAUAAAAGAAUGAAACAAUAGCGUAAACACAAAGCUAUCUCAUGGGCUUUUGUGUUUUAGAGGGCCAAGUUCAUCAGCCCAGUACUCAGUCAUUUUAGCCGCAAUUAAUUCUAGAGAUCAAACUUUUCAAAUUUCACGACUUAUCCUAAAGAGUAUUUUUGGCUUUUGGCUUUUGGAGUUAGCCAUUUUAUGCUACAAAGAAUCAUAUCUCUUUGCUUUCACCAUAUCAUAUUUUGCACUCUUUUCACUUUACCAUGUAGUACUGAUUAAGCAGUUAGUUAGAACAAAAAAAUCAGUCACCAUACACAAUUUGAGUUAAAGAAAAGUGGCAUAGAACUACUUUUCCCUUAGCAGUACUACUAAAUUGACUUCAUGUACCUGGCCAGUUUCCACUCACACAAGGACAGAGGGAAUGGAAAAUUAUAUGAAAUUGUAAAACCAAAAAAGAGCAGAACCAAGGGAUACCAAAUAAGGUGUCGCAAUUAUACAUGCAUCAGUGCACCCCAAAGAAUCAAAGGCUUCUCUGCAUUCCCUUCAUUCAAUGACUAAAAAAGAAUGAUUAAAAAGUUUACACUAUAAACUAUAAAUUGCUAGGUCCAGGUGGCACAAAAAUACCAUCUCAAAAUUCACAUAACGAAUAUCAAUUUGUCUUAAGCGUCAUCGAACCGACUUAAGGUUCAUCAAAGCAACUUAUAUCCAUCACAUAAUUUAUAUAGCCAAUAGAAAUUGGACUUAUUCGAGGCAACAUUUAUCCACAUAUUGAGGCAAGGGUCAUCAAGGCAACAUAUAACCAUCUAAGAAUUUAUUUACUCCAAUAAAAAAUGGACUUAAGGGUCAUCGAAACAACAUAUAUCCAUCACAUAAUUUAUAUAGCCAAUAGAAAUUAGACUGAAUCGAAGCAACAUUUAUCCACAUAUUGAGGCAAGGGUCAUCAAGGCAACACAUGACCAUCUAAGAAUUUAUAUAGUCCAAUAGAAAAUGGACUUAAUGGUCAUCGAAGCAACAUAUAUCCAUCACAUAAUUUAUACAGCCAAUAGAAAUUGGACUCAAUCGAGACAACAUUUAUCCACAUAUUGAAGCAAGGGUCAUCAAGGCAACAUAUAACCAUCUAAGAAUUUAUAUAGUCCAAUAAAAAUUGGACUUAAGGGUCAUUGAAGCAACAUAUAUCCAUCACAUAAUUUAUAUAGCCAAUAGAAAUUGGUCUUAAUCAAGACAACAUUUAUCCACAUAUUGAGGCAAGGGUCAUCAACGCAACAUCUAACCAUCUAAGAAUUUAUUUAGUCCAAUAAAAAAGGGACUUAGUGGUCAUCGAAGCAAUAUAUAUCCAUCACAAAAUUUAUAUAGCCAAUAGAAAUUGGACUUAAUCGAAGCAACAUUUAUCCACUUAUUGAGACAAGGGACGUCAAGGCAACAUCCAUAACCAUCAUUUAUACAAACAACAAUUGGACUUAAGGGUCAUCGAGUAAAAUGUUAACCAUCUCAUAAUUUAUAUAGAGUCAUCGAGUAAGGGUCAUCAAUAACUUAAAGAUACCAUUUCAUAAUUCCAAUAUUGAAUAAUAACAUGAUGUAAGGGUAGCGAAUAGACAUCUAACCAUUUUGAUCCAAAUUUACAGCAUACAAAAACUUUCAGCAAGCUAGCAUAUUUUGCAAGAUUGCAUUUGGGUCAUCAAAGAAAAUUAUACCUCCCCAUAUUUAUGAAUAGAAAUUUAUCAUUAAAAAUGCAUUUAACACACCUAACUAACUUGGUUUUUCUUUUCAAGUCGAAGAUUAGAUGUUCUUGAAUAAUCAAGAAUGAAAAGAUAGGUAUCCGAACAAGGUAUC
rnacentral:lncRNA from 1 species